rnacentral:rRNA from 1 species
UACGUAGGGCGCAAGCGUUGUCCGGAAUUAUUGGGCGUAAAGAGCUCGUAGGCGGCCUGUCGCGUCUGCUGUGAAAUCCCGGGGCUUAACCCCGGGCCUGCAGUGGGUACGGGCAGACUAGAGUGCGGUAGGGGAGACUGGAAUUCCUGGUGUAGCGGUGAAAUGCGCAGAUAUCAGGAGGAACACCGGUGGCGAAGGCGGGUCUCUGGGCCGUAACUGACGCUGAGGAGCGAAAGCGUGGGGAGCGAACAGG